rnacentral:rRNA from 1 species
UACUAGAGUAGCACUUGCAUAUCAAUAAGCGGAGGAAAAGAAACUAACAAGGAUUCCCCUAGUAACGGCGAGUGAAGCGGGAAGAGCUCAAAUUUGAAAUCUUAAAGGGUUUCCCUUUACGAAUUGUAGUUUAAAGAAGUGUUUUCUGUUGAGGUUUUGGUAAAAGUUCUUUGGAAUAGGACAUCAUAGAGGGUGAGAAUCCCGUAUUUGACCUUUACUUUCAACUUUGUGAUACACUUUCAAAGAGUCGGAUUGUUUGGGAAUGCAGUCCAAAAUGGGUGGUAAAUUUCAUCUAAAGCUAAAUAUUGGCGAGAGACCGAUAGCGAACAAGUACCGUGAGGGAAAGAUGAAAAGAACUUUGAAAAGAGAGUUAAACAGUACGUGAAAUUGUCAAAAGGGAAGCGUUUGACACCAGUGUUGUUUUUCUGAAAAUCAAUUAAAGAACUGUUUAUGCUAAGCUGUUUAGACUUUAUCAGCUAAUCUGUUUAGUUUUGAGCUUUUCUUUAAUGCACUUUUCAGUUAACAAGUCAACAUCAAUUUCUUUUGCUGUAAAAAAGCUUGAGGAAGGUGGCUUGAGAUUCGUCUUAAGUGUUUAUAGCCUCUUGCCUAUGCAGUCGGAGAGAUUGAGGUCUGCAGCGUAGAUCCUUCGGGGCUAAAUGCAUUUGUGCUAAGUUAUAGCAUUUUAUAGACAACUUGUUGACUAUGAUUUGUCUUGUAGCUUACUCGCUUAUGUUAUUUUACCUACGCUUAGGAUGUUGAACUCUAUCACACACAG